rnacentral:rRNA from 1 species
UACGUAGGGGGCAAGCGUUGUCCGGAAUCAUUGGGCGUAAAGCGCGUGUAGGCGGCCAGAUAAGUCCGCUGUGAAAACUCGAGGCUCAACUUCGAGCUGUCGGUGGAAACUAUCUGGCUAGAGUCCGGAAGAGGAGAGUGGAAUUCCUGGUGUAGCGGUGAAAUGCGCAGAUAUCAGGAAGAACACCCGUGGCGAAGGCGGCUCUCUGGGACGGUACUGACGCUGAGACGCGAAAGCGUGGGGAGCGAACAGG